UCACCAUGAUCUUCACUUCAUACUUCAUCCCUUUGUGAUCAUGUGGCCACCUUUCCAUGCCACCAUGCACCUUCAUCACAUGUGUUGCUAUGCCUAACUCAAAUCACUUAAACACAAGGCAUUAGCAACUUGGUGUCAUUAAUUACCAAAACCAAACUAGGGCUUUCAGCCUGGUUGCCAGACAAGGAGAGAUAGAGAGAAGCGGCGUGCGCGUGCGGGGAGGGAAGAGUUGGGCCGGGGAGGGAAACUGGGCCGCGCCCAGGCCGAGGGGAGAGGGACUUUGGCUGCUAUGCUGGGCUGGGCUAGAGCGCAAGGAGGUAAGUGAGUUCCUUUUUCUUUUCCUUUUUUUUUCCAAAGCUCUUUCAAAAUAGUUUUGUGUUCUUUUAAUUCUCAAACAAAACUCACAGCACAAAAAUAAUUAUUCCCCAUCAUGAAUGCACAAACAAAUUUCUUUCCCUAUGUUGGAUUUUAAUUUCACAAAAUUUAUUUAUUUACUACAUUUAAAUACUCACAAAAAUAUUCAGAUAAAGCAAUUUAAAUCCUAUUAAUUGGAAAUUAAAUUUUGGGUGUUACAAACUCUACACCCUUAAAAGAAUCUCAUCCUCGAGAUUGAGCAGUGCUUACUCAAACAAAUAUGAAUAUGAUUUCCUCAGAUCAUCCUCUCUUUCCCAAGUUGCUUCUGCUUCUGAAUACCGAUUCCAUUGCAUCUUGCACACUCUAAUAAUCCGACUUCUAGUAACUCUCUGAGUUGUCUCUAAUAUUUUAACCGGAUACUCUUCAUAAGUGAGAUCACCUUUAACAGAAAGCCCUUCUAAAGGUAUUUGCUCUUUAGGUACACGCAAACACUUCUUAAGUUGUGACACAUGG
rnacentral:lncRNA from 1 species